rnacentral:rRNA from 1 species
GUGGGGAAUCUUCCGCAAUGGACGAAAGUCUGACGGAGCAACGCCGCGUGAGUGAUGAAGGUCUUCGGAUUGUAAAGCUCUGUUAAUCGGGACGAAAGAGCCUAGUGUGAAUAAUGCUAGGAAGUGACGGUACCGGAAUAGAAAGCCACGGCUAACUACGUGCCAGCAGCCGCGGUAAUACGUAGGUGGCAAGCGUUGUCCGGAAUUAUUGGGCGUAAAGCGCGCGCAGGCGGAUCUGCCAGUCUGUCUUAAAAGUUCGGGGCUUAACCCCGUGAUGGGAUGGAAACUACAGAUCUAGAGUAUCGGAGAGGAAAGUGGAAUUCCUAGUGUAGCGGUGAAAUGCGUAGAUAUUAGGAAGAACACCAGUGGCGAAGGCGACUUACUGGGCCGUAACUGACGUUGAUGCGCGAAAGCGUGGGGAGCGAACAGGAUUAGAUACCCUAGUAGUCC